rnacentral:tRNA from 1 species
GGGCAUGUAGCUCAGGGGAUAGAGCACCAGAUUCCGGUUCUGGGUGACGGGGGUUCGAAUCCCUCCAUGCUCG